rnacentral:lncRNA from 1 species
CUUGCUGACAUGGUUCGUGUUGCCUCUGUUCGACAUUCCCAGGAUUCAACCAAAUGCAAGUUAGAAGAGUAAAAGGAGACAACAGGCAAGUUAUAGUAACUAUUUGUGCAUACACCAUACAUUUUAUAGGAUUGAACCUAGCUUUGGAACAUCGAAACUGUUUGCAACCUAGUUCCACCACUGAAUGUAUUUUUCUAUAUCUUUCAAGAGGAUUGAACCUAGCUUUGUUAAUACACCAUACAUUUUAUAGGAUUGAACCUAGCUUUGGAACUUUGAAACUGUUUGCAACCUAGUUCCACCACUGAAUGUAUUCUCUGUAUCUUUCAAGAGGUGUUGAAUGAAAGCCACUACCAAUAGACAAAAUGUUGAAGGAAGCCAAUACAAGAUUUUCUUUGGCUGCA